rnacentral:rRNA from 1 species
GAUGAACGCUGGCGGCGUGCCUAACACAUGCAAGUCGAACGGAGUGGCGGACGGGUGAGUAACGCGUGGGCAACGUGCCAUAUACAGGGGGAUAGCAGCUGGAAACGGCUUGUAAGACCGCGUAUGAUAGGAUGGGCCCGCGUCCGAUUAGCCAGUUGGCAUGGUACAAGCCUACCAAAGCGACGAUCGGUAGCCGGACUGAGAGGUCGGGCGGCCACAUUGGGACUGAGACACGGCCCAGACUCCUACGGGAGGCAGCAGUGGGGGAUAUUGCACAACGGAGGAAACUCUGAUGCAGCGACGCCGCGUGAGUGAAGAAGUAUUUCGGUAUGUAAAGCUCUAUCAGCAGGGAAGCGGUACCUGACUAAGAAGCCCCGGCUAACUACGUGCCAGCAGCCGCGGUAAUUC